rnacentral:rRNA from 1 species
AUUGAACGCUGGCGGCAGGCCUAACACAUGCAAGUCGAGCGAGCGGCGGACGGGUGAGUACUGUAAGUGGACUGCCCGAUAGAGGUGGAUAACUACAGGAAACGCUAGCUCAUACCGCAUACUAACGGAUAACCCAUAUGGGAUUAGCUAGUAGGUGAGGUAAUGGCUAACCUAGGCGACGAUCCCUAGCUGGGCUGAGAGGAUGAUCAGCCACACGGGGACUGAGACACGGCCCAGACUCCUACGGAGGCAGCAGUGGGGAAUAUUGGACAAUGGGCGCAAGCCUGAUGCAGCCAUGCCGCGUGUAUGAAGAAGGCCCUAGGGUUGUAAAGUACUUUCAGUCGGGAGGCGUUACCGACAGAAGAAGCACCGGCUAACUCCGUGCCAGCAGCCGCGGUAAUUC